rnacentral:rRNA from 1 species
AUUGAACGCUGGCGGCAGGCUUAACACAUGCAAGUCGAGCGGAGAUGAGGUGCUUGCACCUUAUCUUAGCGGCGGACGGGUGAGUAAUGCUUAGGAAUCUGCCUAUUAGUGGGGGACAACAUUCCGAAAGGAAUGCUAAUACCGCAUACGCCCUACGGGGGAAAGCAGGGGAUCUUCGGACCUUGCGCUAAUAGAUGAGCCUAAGUCGGAUUAGCUAGUUGGUGGGGUAAAGGCCUACCAAGGCGACGAUCUGUAGCGGGUCUGAGAGGAUGAUCCGCCACACUGGGACUGAGACACGGCCCAGACUCCUACGGGAGGCAGCAGUGGGGAAUAUUGGACAAUGGGCGGAGGCCUGAUCCAGCCAUGCCGCGCGUGUGAAGAAGGCCUUUUGGUUGUAAAGCACUUUAAGCGAGGAGGAGGCUACCUGGAUUAAUACUCUAGGAUAGUGGACGUUACUCGCAGAAUAAGCACCGGCUAACUCUGUGCCAGCCGCCGCAGUAAAAC